AGGUAAGCUACUAAGAGCGAAUGGUGGAUGCCUUGACUGGUAAAGGCGAUGAAGGACGUACUAGACUGCGAUAAGCUACGGGGAGCUGUCAAGAAGCUUUGAUCCGUAGAUUUCCGAAUGGGGCAACCCAAUGUAUAGAGAUAUACAUUACCUAUAUAGGAGCGAACGAGGGGAAUUGAAACAUCUUAGUACCCUCAGGAAAAGAAAUCAAUAGAGAUUGCGUCAGUAGCGGCGAGCGAAAGCGCAAGAGGGCAAACCCAGUGCUUGCACUGGGGGUUGUAGGACUGCAAUGUGCAAGAGGUAAGUUUAGCAGAACAUUCUGGAAAGUAUAACCAUAGAGGGUGAUAGUCCCGUAUGCGAAAAACAAACCUUAGCUAGCAGUAUCCUGAGUAGGGCGGGACACGAGGAAUCCUGUCUGAAUCCGGGUCGACCACGAUCCAACCCUAAAUACUAAUACCAGAUCGAUAGUGCACAAGUACCGUGAGGGAAAGGUGAAAAGAACUGAGGUGAUCAGAGUGAAAUAGAACCUGAAACCAUUUGCUUACAAUCAUUCAGAGCCCUAUGUAGCAAUACAGGGUGAUGGACUGCCUUUUGCAUAAUGAGCCUGCGAGUUGUGGUGUCUGGCAAGGUUAAGCAAACGCGAAGCCGUAGCGAAAGCGAGUCUGAAUAGGGCGCUUAGUCAGAUGCUGCAGACCCGAAACGAAGUGAUCUAUCCAUGAGCAAGUUGAAGCUAGUGUAAGAACUAGUGGAGGACUGAACCCAUAGGCGUUGAAAAGCCCCGGGAUGACUUGUGGAUAGGGGUGAAAGGCCAAUCAAACUUCGUGAUAGCUGGUUCUCUCCGAAAUAUAUUUAGGUAUAGCGUUGUGUCGUAAUAUAAGGGGGUAGAGCACUGAAUGGGCUAGGGCAUACACCAAUGUACCAAACCCUAUCAAACUCCGAAUACCUUAUAUGUAAUCACAGCAGUCAGGCGGCGAGUGAUAAAAUCCGUCGUCAAGAGGGAAACAACCCAGACUACCAGCUAAGGUCCCUAAAUCUUACUUAAGUGGAAAACGAUGUGAAGUUACUUAAACAACCAGGAGGUUGGCUUAGAAGCAGCCAUCCUUUAAAGAAAGCGUAAUAGCUCACUGGUCUAGUGAUUUUGCGCGGAAAAUAUAACGGGGCUAAAGU
rnacentral:rRNA from 2 species